GGCUCAAGGGGUCCUCCUGCCUCAGCCUCCUGAGUUAGGACUACAGGGCCUGAGUUAAGGUCAUUGAAGCACAGUAUUCAAAAGCAAACAAAAAGAA